UCUUAAGGAUGAGCAAAGACAGUGCUUUCUGGAAAUGGAAUCUACUCUUGGUGAAGAUGCUGGGGA
rnacentral:pre_miRNA from 1 species